GUUAGGGAAUUUUGACAAUGGGCGCAAGCCUGAUCGAGUGACGCCGCGUGUGGGACGACGCCUUUCGGGGUGUAAACCACUUUUCCUAGGGGCGAGCGAGGACGGUACCUGGGGAAGAAGCAUCGGCUAACUACGUGCCAGCAGCCGCGGUAAUACGUAGGAUGCGAGCGUUGUCCGGAGUUACUGGGCGUAAAGCGCGCGUAGGCGGCUCCUUGCGUAGGCGGUGAAAGCCCCCGGCUCACCCGGGGGAGUGCCGCCUAAACGGGGGAGCUAGAGGGCGGUAGGGGCUGGCGGAACGCCCGGAGUAGCGGUGAAAUGCGUUGAGAUCGGGCAGAACACCAGUGGCGAAGGCGGCCAGCUGGGCCGUACCUGACGCUGAGGCGCGAAAGCCAGGGGAGCGAACGGAAUUAGAUACCCCUGUAGUCC
rnacentral:rRNA from 1 species